ensembl:lncRNA
UGUUAGCUUCCGUUUCGCUAAUGGUGCGUUCGCUUUCUCCUCGGAACUCCGAAUUUCCGACUAGAAGAACAUGAACGCGCUCUAAAGUUUGGCUUCACUUUACUAAAUGCGACGGGUGAUUGGGUGAAGAUGAAACCAGCGACAACGAUCUAAGUGUGAGGCAUCAUCGUUUUAAUCUGCUCCAGCAGCUAAAUAAACUGUUUAAGAUAACGUUAGCUUGAUAUGUUAGCUUCCAUUGCCACCAUUGUUAUCAGCUAAUGGUGCGUUCGCUUUCUCCUCGGAAAUUCUAACUUCCCAGUAGGAAAAAUCAAAUGAAACACAAAAACCUACGGAUCUGGAUGAAGGGAGUCAACCCUCAACCGCCGCAGCAGUCCAGGGUUUUGCCGCUGGAAAUGCUAACGCUAACGUUAGCUAACCUUGCAACAGUACAGGUGGUUUUCUGUGUGGCUGUAUGUGUUUAUGAUUUCAUGGAAAAGUCAGCGAUUGUUCAUAUGUUUGUGAUGUAUAUUAAUGAUUGUUUCAGGUGUUGAGGUGUUGUGCACGCAUGAAUAUCUGCUAGUGUUGAAGGUGUUUUAGAGAACAAUAGGUACGCAUGACCACUUCCUUCAUAGCACCCUCAAUAAAAACACUAGCUCCUUCAUAUCACCUGCAGAAAAACAUUUCUGGAGCCGCCACUGCCACCACGGGAAACCGUUGCUCAAACCCAGAUCAACAUAUUUAGAUUUAACAGCAAACACAAUCACAGACUACCAUCAGCUGCAUGCAGUUGGAGCCAUUGGGUGUUAAUUAAACACAACUUGAUUCAGUUUGUUUAUAGAGCGCUUAUUUAGAAGUGAACUAACCUUUAUUUACAUGCAUUUUUAUGAGAUGAUGUUUAUGCAGAUGCAGCUUGUGUGGGUGCUCUGGGCCAGGCUUCAGGGACGGUUUAUGUCCCAGUCGAUCCCUGGUGAUCUCACUUUGAGGCCUAAUUAAGGUACCAGCUGCUUCUGGCCUUGCAAAACCGCCACUUUUAUUUACUCACACACACACACCAGCUGAUUUAUUACAAACAGCCUGUCAUCAAGGUGGUGGUCAUACAUCUUAGGCUAAAUGACUCCAGGCAGUUAACCACUGAUGGUUCAUAUUUAAAUCAGAUCAAUCUGUUUGUCAUGAAGCAGCGAUCAUGAACUAUACUCUGGUGUGUUGUAAUUUAUGUGUUCAGCUGCUGUCUGAGUUACAAAUGUUACAAUCUGGCUAGCGAUGGGUACCGAAUUCAGUACUUUUUAAGCUACAGACAGAAUUCCAUAGUACCGACUGAGCACCGAUUCAUGUCAUUUCAAACGGUGCCUCGUUUCGGUACCCGUCCUUCAUAAAGAGAACUUGCCUAGACAGCUGCGCAUGCACAAGAGCGUUACGUCGUCGGUCGCUGAGAGCGAGUUGUAAACAGAGCAGCAUGGUAGAAAGAACACACGCUAAAGCUUGGGUCCACUUCACUAAAUGUGAUGGGUAACUGGGUGAUGAUGAAACCAGCGACAACGAUCUAAGUGAGACAUCCUCAUCUUAAUCUGCUCCGGUAGGUAAAUAAAAUGUUUAAGAUAACGUUAGCUUGAUAUGUUAGCUUCCAUUGCCACCAUUGUUAUCAGCUAAUGGUGCGUUCGCUUUCUCCUCGGAAAU